AUGGAGAUGCGCGACCCCGACCCGGGCCCGCGCCGCGGAGCUGUGGAGCUAGGCUGCGCUUGAACUGCGCUCUGGCGUGGGGUUCAAGAUUCUAACCCCUGAGAUGGAGUUCAGUGUUCAGAGAUGACGGUGAGCAUUGUUUCCUCUCUCGUCCGAGGAAAGGAUUCCAGCGCAACCAUAGAACGAAAGCAACAACUGAGAGACAGUGUUACCUAACAUUCAUUGAACUUCCAAAACAACAGGAGUGAUAAUAAUAGCUACAGUUCACAGAGUACAUAGCAGGUGCCAGGUGCUGUGCUGGCAUCUCGCACAUUAUUUCUAACACACCCACAAUCUGCAGACAAGGACUUUGAGGCUUGGUAAGAUUCUCGGUUGCCAAGAGUCCUACAGCAGGAUGUGGAGAGAUGACCUCCGAGGUCCCUCCAACUGUGUCAUUCUGGACUUCCAGUUCCUUGGGCACGUUCUCCCUUGUGCAUUGCUCUUGAGCAAAUGCUGUUUUAAAGCUGCUGAAGCCAGCACUCAGGUAAGCUGGGCAAAGUGCCAGGUGCCCUUGGCGCUCCCAGAGGCCAGGGAACUCUCUGCUCCUGCAUUUGAUGUGGGGAUUUAGGGGGCCGGUGGAUAACAGAGGGGAGAAAGGAUACAGCUCAGUGUAAAACCCAUAUCUCUAGAGUUGAACAACCUGAAUUCAAAUGCUGAUUCUGUCAUAUAUUAGGACAGUGGCUUGGGCAAAUUCUUAACCUCUCUUAGCCUCAGUUUCCUCAACUGAGAAAUGGGGCAUGACAGCCUAUAACUUGCAGCAUUGUUGGGAAAGGUAGGAUGAAAUAAAGCAUGCAAGAUCCAGUGCCUGGUAACCAGCCCAGUCCCCUGGAGGCCCACUCUCACAGGUGCUGCUGCCGGCUGCUGGGGUGAGGGGGACUCCUGAAGGGCCUGCCCAGGGCACACACACAGGAUUGCUCACCAGUACUGAGAAAGAGUACAGACCCCAGGCAGUCCUCUUCAGCCACACCCAAGGUCCAACAAAGCCAACUGCCUGCCCCAAAUGUGGGUUGCUGCCUCUUCCAGAGUUUCUGUCGAGUGGACUGGAGGCGGGGCAGGGGACAGGGGGUGUGGGGAGUACAGGGCCCCGUGUCUAUCCUUGACAGCAUACCCAUUGCCCUUCAGACCCUGAGCCAGCCCAGAAGUCUCUUGCCCUGUCUGCAGCUCAGCGGGGCCCCAGAAGGUGGAGGAGGGGAACAGAUUAGACCCUCAUGUCUGCUCUACGCAGGAAAGGAGGCAGGGAUGGUGAACAGAGCGUAUGUUACUGUGCAACAGGCACUGUGCCGAUACACGAUCUCAGAAUACUCCCCAUGACUCUGUGAGGAAGGUGUGACCAUCUCCACUUCACAGAUGAAGAGAUUGAUGCCUGCAGAGGUAAGGCAGCCAUGAAGUGGUGCAUCAGCUACUCACUGCCAGGGGACCACACUUAAUGCACCAGUGUGUCUAAGGGGAAGGUAGUUAUAAGUUUAGUUUCCAUAAACCAUGACAGAUCGAGGAGAAGACCUGACUCUUUGAAAGGAACUCAAAGAGUCUUCUUGUUAGUCAUCAUCCUCCUAUUUGCCUGAUAACCAUGGCUUUUUAUAUGUUUCUGCCACUGGCGUGUAAGCUCCCUGAGGGUAGGGGUUCUGGUAUGUUUUGUUCACCACUGUCUCCCCAGUGCUUAAAACAGUGUUUGGCAUAUAGUGACACAUAGUACAUGCUCAUUAAGCAUUUGGUGAUGGAAGGGAGGGAGGCAGAGGUAAGAAAAAAGGUAGAGUAGCUCUGAGAAACAUGCACUUCUCUCUUAAGUCAAGCACUUGAGAGUCGGGUGCAGAGCUAGAGCCCAGAGAAAGGGA